rnacentral:rRNA from 1 species
AGCAGCCGCGGUAAUUCCAGCUCCAAUAGCGUAUAUUAAAGUUGUUGCAGUUAAAAAGCUCGUAGUUGAAUUUCGGAAUUUUUUUAUCGGUUGAACCAACAGGUUCGUACUGAUUUUAAGUAAUUUCUACCUUCUGGAGAACCUUAAUGUCAUUUAUUUGAUGUUUUGGGAAACCAGGACUGUUACCUUAGAAAAAAUUAAGAGUGUUUAAAGCAGGCUUAUGUCUGAAUAUAUUAGCAUGGAAUAAUGAAAUAGGACGGCAUGGUUCUAUUUUGUUGGUUUCUAGGAUCACCGUAAUGAUUAAUAGGGAUAGUUGGGGGCAUUAGUAUUCAAUUGUCAGAGGUGAAAUUCUUGGAUUUAUUGAAGACUAACUUCUGCGAAAGCAUUUGCCAAGGAUGUUUUCAUUAAUCAAGAACGAAGUUAGGGGAUCGAAGACGAUCAGAUACCGUCGUAGUCUUAACCAUAAACUAUGCCGACUAGGAAUCGGACGAAGUUUAAAUUUUUAAUGACUCGUUCGGCG